AUUAAUUUCAGUCUAUUUCCUGAGGUUUGCAGGAAACUAAAAUGAAGAAAGCGCUGUGGCAAAAAAUUAAAGCUUCAUGGAAAAAAAAAAAAGAAGAUUGACAGGAAACGAGGCUUCAAUAGGACAGCUUGCACUGAGUAGUGCUGUCCUCCUUUCUGCAUAUCAACAUAUGCAUAGGGAAAAAUAGCUCUCUCUCCUACUUGCAGCACGGAGAUUGGGAAGGGGCCUUGCCCACAUGCUGUAGGCAUGCUGAGUUUUAGUUCAGAGUGGUUGCACGGGGGCCUCUUCAUCAUGAAUCUGGAAACCCUCUGUCAUUAAGGAUUAGUUCACAGAUUUCCUGAAAGUAAAAGAAAAAUGGAAAAGAAAAUACGAAGACACCAGCCACCAUCUUGCACAGACUCUGGGAUCUAAGACCACACAAAGAAAGGGAGAAAUCAGUGGCUGAAGGAGUCGCUUCAUGACUGGGGAGUACAAAUGAUCUAGACCUGCACCGCCCGCUGCUGUAGUUACUAUCCACGUGUGGCUAUUUAAGUUGAAAUUAAUUGAAAUUAAAUAAAAAAUACAGUUCCUCAGUCACAGUGGUCAUAUGUCAAGUGCUUAAUAGCUGAAUGUGGCUAACGGCAACUGUAUUAGACAGCGCAGAUUUCAUAGACCAUUUUAUAGGCCAUGUCUAUCAGCACAGAAAGUGCUACAAGACAGCACUGAUGUGUCUCUUUACACAAUCAGGUUUAAGCUGGCACUGUCUAGGGUAACGGCUGACAAUCAGGGUUUGUUCCUUCGGAAUGAUAGUUGGAGAACUGGUCAACCCUUGGUUUGAGAAUAAUAAUGCCUUUGAAGGGAAUAAGCCAGAGAUAACUUCUUCACAAAAUUAAUGGUGUUCGUAUCUAGGUCUGCAAGCCCCAAUGAAAGGAUUUAAGAUUAAGAAAUGUAAGCCUAUUUGGAAACAAAUGAACAGGCAAUCAUCUACCAUGACCGCUACAAAAGCUGAACUGUGUCUCCCCAAACAUUCCUGUGUUAAAGCCCUAACCCCCAAUGUGGCCAGAUUUGGAGAAAGGGCCAAUGAGAAGGUCAUAAAAGUUACAUGACAUCAUAAUGGUGGAACCCUGACCUAAUAGGACGGGUGCUCUUAGAAGAGGAGAAGACACCAGAGCUCUCCCUCUCUCAGCUUGCACAAGGAGGAGGUCACGUGAGCACACAGUGAGAAGGCAGAGGACCAUCUGCAGGCAGGAAGAGAGCACUCGCUAGAACCCCCACGGUGGCACCUGAUAGCGGACUUCUAGCUUCCAGAACUCUCAUCCUUUUCCCCACAUCUCAGCAUGAUACAGCAAGAGUUGCCUGGGGCCUCAUGGCCCAAUGGGGCCCAGGCCUCGAACAAAUUUGCAGAGAAGUUUUGCAGGCUUCUGCCACCUCUGGACUCUGCUGCUGCACCAGCAGGGACUAUUCGUGGAAGCUGUUUGACUCAUCACUGAACCUAAAAGAGUGUCUGGGGAGCUGCAGGGCCUCAGUGGCCUAAGGCUUCACGAGCCCUUCUGCUUAGAGAGUUAAUGCCUGAGACUAAAAUUUGGGGUAACAGGACAGAUUUCCGCUCAGCAGCAAAAGCUGCCCCAGCCUUUCUUAUAAAAUGGAGAGUGCAAAUAAAGAAGUUGAUUGUUUCUAGGAGAAAGGUGUAUACACCAA